rnacentral:rRNA from 1 species
UACGAAGGGGGCUAGCGUUGUUCGGAUUUACUGGGCGUAAAGCGCACGUAGGCGGAUUGUUAAGUCAGGGGUGAAAUCCUGGAGCUCAACUCCAGAACUGCCUUUGAUACUGAGGAUCUUGAGUUCGGGAGAGGUGAGUGGAACUGCGAGUGUAGAGGUGAAAUUCGUAGAUAUUCGCAAGAACACCAGUGGCGAAGGCGGCUCACUGGCCCGAGUACUGACGCUGAGGCACGAAAGCGUGGGGAGCAAACAGGG